rnacentral:rRNA from 1 species
GACGAACGCUGGCGGCGUGCUUAACACAUGCAAGUCGAACGGAAAGGCCCUGCUUUUGUGGGGUGCUCGAGUGGCGAACGGGUGAGUAACACGUGAGUAACCUGCCCUUGACUUUGGGAUAACUUCAGGAAACUGGGGCUAAUACCGGAUAGGAGCUCCUGCUGCAUGGUGGGGGUUGGAAAGUUUCGGCGGUUGGGGAUGGACUCGCGGCCUAUCAGCUUGUUGGAGGGGUAGUGGCUUACCAAGGCUUUGACGGGUAGCCGGCCUGAGAGGGUGACCGGCCACAUUGGGACUGAGAUACGGCCCAGACUCCUACGGGAGGCAGCAGUGGGGAAUAUUGCACAAUGGGCGGAAGCCUGAUGCAGCAACGCCGCGUGCGGGAUGACGGCCUUCGGGUUGUAAACCGCUUUCGCCUGUGACGAAGCGUGAGUGACGGUAAUGGGUAAAGAAGCACCGGCUAACUACGUG